AGGGCAGCCAAGUCGUGAGGCGGAGCUAAUCCCUUAAAGCCAUUCUCAGUUCGGAUUGUAGGCUGAAACUCGCCUACAUGAAGCUGGAGUUACUAGUAAUCGCAGAUCAGAAUGCUGCGGUGAAUGCGUCCCCGGGUCUUGUACACACCGCCCGUCACACCACGGAAGUUGGGGGCGCCCGAAGCCACUUAGCUAACCCUUUUGGGAAGCGAGUGUCGAAGGUGAAAUCAAUAACUGGGGUGAAGUCGUAACAAGGUACC
rnacentral:rRNA from 1 species